UGGCCGGCCAUUCUUCAUAUUCUUCUUA
rnacentral:piRNA from 1 species